GAAAGGAAAGGAAAUCAGCCCCACUCCCCCCGCACGCCCUGCCUCCUAUCCCAUCUCCACCCCCUGCCACGCCCCUCACCGCGCGCCGCCGUGCGCCGCCACCGCCCACCCCGCCGGCGCGCCCACCCUCCCGACCGGCUACACGCGGAUGACGCUCGAGCGGACCUUCUGGAUCGGUUCAACACGGCGGCUCGAGCGGUUGGGGUGGCACGGCUGCUCGAUGCAGAACGGCGGCGGCGGCUGGAGCUUGCAGGGGCCGGAUCCGUGCGUGCCAGGGGUUGGGGAGGCUAAUCCGAAGGCGGGCGGCUAGGCGGGGGCUCACCGGUGACGACGAGGAAAGCCGAAGCGAGGGAUCCGGCGACCUAGGCAGCAGCUCGCUAAAGCCGGGCGACGGUGGACGGGGGCGUGAGACGGAGGGAUCCGGCGUGGCAGCGGAAUUCCUUGCAGGUAGAGAGCUCCAGGCCAUGGCGGGGCUUCAGUUUUCCCUGGUGGAAAAGAGAGAAAGAGGAGGAUUCAGGGAGGAGGAGAAGUAGGGAGAAGAAGGUGCGGGUGCGAGCUUGGGGAAGAGGGAGCCGAACGUCAAGUGAAAGACAGGGAGGAUCAGGGAUUCUUCUUAGCCGGCGUGUGCAGAGAAGAUGAACCAUGCAAAAACUCAGGGUGGACCACGGGGUCUUCACUGCUGGCGGAACAGGGCAUGGCUGCUACCAGGGUGAUCUAAAGGGAGUAUCUAGGUAUUAAUAUCUGUGAUGUGGCUAGCAAUGUUGGCAACAGCUAGAGCUACCUGGAACUUUUGAUUUUGGUGCCAAUAUGGAUGGAUUCAACUGGGUGACCCUCUGUCAGGUAUUGUUGUUUAGUUAUCCUGAGGGUGACGUGGAUAUGUUCUGUUUUAGAUCAAAGCUUGGUAUUGCUAGAAAACAUAUAUGUGAUGUGCACUGAGAUUUCAAAUAUAAAACAGCAGUGAUACAAUACACUGUUUCCCUUGCUAUCGAUGAUCACUUGAAGUAGCGUACCUUACAAUAAUAUUUCUCUCUUGGACCAUGAGUGCUGUUCAGUGGCAAUAUUCACUCUGAUGAAGGUAAUACUAAUGCACCUUUGCCAAGAAGGUUCUGCCUGUUCAAUGCAAUGACAGAAUGCUGAAACAUCAUGGUGUCCAUGCUAAAAUAUAAUGAUUCACCCCCUGGGUUCUUAUUGUUGUAUCCUCUUGUGGAAUAGUUUUUGGCCACCGUAUAUAUAUGAUAGAUGCCAAAAACUAUUCCCCAAAAAUCAUACAAGGGGCACACAAAAUGUAUAUGUACCCUUCUGUGCCUACUUCGCCGCAGGUAUCUUUUUGUGUGUGCAAAUAAUGAUGGAGCUAUUUUUGAUUUACAACUAGAGUUUACUGAUGGUUAUAGGAUGAAAAACAGGGCAUAUAAGUUGCAAGAUUUUGAAUAGCAAUUCCUAUCUAUAUGUUCUGCACUUGGAUGAAAGUGCGGACCGGCUCCUGUAGUAGCUAUUUUUGAUUUACAACAGAGUUUACUUAUGGUUAUAGGAUGGAAACUUUGUAUUAUUUUGCCAUCUUCUUUCCUUUGUGAAACUCGCUGCAGCAAGUAGAAAUUUAAAUUGAUGCAAGCAAUUAUCUGUUUUUGAUUGUCCAGCUAAAGAGUUUUGAAUGCUGAAAACAUCAACCAAGGUACAACAGAGCCUCCUUAGACAAUUCUAUGUUAGUUUUCCAAUGUAGCUGACCAGCUAAGGCCUGAGCUCCUUAACUUUCCAUCUUCAGCAACUAUUUUCGAGGACAUCCUUGUGAUUUUAAAGACGAAGAAGAGAGUUCUCUUACUAGCUAUAUAUAUUAUUACUAAUCAAGGUGCGCCAGUCCCUUGAUUGUUCUGCAUGCAAUGAUGUGUUUGACAUGCUUGAAAAAAAAAAACAAGAGACUUACUCAGUGGUCAAGGGCAGAAUGUAGACUUACUGUAACUAGCUACCAAUGUGACAUACUAUUGGUCAGGUUUCACAACUAAAUAAUAUGCUGGAGUUCUCCUAUUCUGGAACAAAUUCACCAUGCCUGGAAUUGAUCAUUCAGUGGUGCAGUUCAAAUGGUGUAUCCUCCGUUUGUCAUAAGUUCUGAGGAUCUUAUGAUCAAGAUAGAUCAUGAUGGGUUUCAUACGUGAAAUUUUGCUUAAUGGAUGCUCCAAGUUUCCUCUGAUCAGCAUACCUAUGGGAUACAGGCCUCUGUUUUCCCCUGGAACUGCUGAACUUUUGUUUCCUCUGAUGCAGGAGCAACACUUCCAGUUUGAUUGCAUGAGGGAAGGGUCUGACUUCAAUUGCUUCAGGGUAGUAGUACAUGUUUUUCUUUCUUUGCGUAGAAGCGUAGUACAUGGGGUAAAACAUGUCGAGAACUGAACUUUAGUAGCAAGGACAACAAAGUUAUCUGAAAAUACUGUCUAGAUGGUCAUAGAACGCCAAACAGUAAGAAAAACUGUAAAGAAAUGCGAACCAAAAGGAAGGGGCAAAUUGUUCUGUAAUGUGAGAGGUCCGAUUGAACUCUGUAGUGGUUAUCUUAUUUCUAUUGGUUCUGUGCUAACUUGCUUAUGUAUGCAAGUUACUCUGAAGCAACACGAUAAACAAGUACAUUCAUUUUGAUCAUGAAAAUAAGGUCUAUCUAGCAUAAUCUAAUUUGUGUAUCGUUAUUUCGUACAUUCAUUUUUACUUUGGUCCAUAAGUUUCCAGAGAUCUUCUAUUUGAAACAACCAACCCGUUCUUCUUUCGAGAAUGUAGAAGCUAUAUAAGUAUACUUAUUUUCAAUAUAUGUUGAAGAAUUUGGUACCAACAGAAUUUUCCGCAACUAACAGUGUGCACAUUUGUCAUGGUUGAAUUUCUUUUAUUAUUGAAAACCUAAGAUUAGAAGUAUACCGAGAGUCAUGGUUAGAAGUUGAAUGCUAAGGGGUGUAAUAAUUGAUUUGGGUCAUAAUAAAUUAAAUCAAAUGUGAUGAUUUUUUUCUCCCGUUGCAACGCACAGGCCUUUUUGCUAGGAGAGGUAGGAGAAGAAGGAAGGGUGCGGCAGGGUGCAGCGGUGCGAGGGCACUGGUCUCCCGCGUGAGGAGCGCCUCUCCUCGGGAGGAUCUGGAGGGAGUGAGUGAAACUCAAAUCCACUUCAGAGCAAGGUACUGUUGUAGAAGUACGAAGAAGCAAGCUGACCAGAUGUACAAGUAGUAGCCGGCAACGACGAUGAAGCAAGCCAACCAGAUGUGCACGAAACGACCAUACAUCAUGCCUGAUUGAUCCUCCGGUACGUGUUUCAUUGGCCAAUAGCCCAUGCUAGCUAGCUAGCAACCAUGUAAAUUUCCCACGCUUGAUUUAUUCCUUUAGGACUUUAUUAAUUUUAUAUGUUCUUCCCAUGAUUAUCUAGAUAAUACUAACUGUUGAUGUUUCUUUCACGCAUACAUGGCUUUGCUAGGAGUUUUUCCACUGGUGAGGUCUGAACUCUGAAUACUAUGAACUUAAGGAUAAAUCUUAUAGCAGAUCAAAAUCAUGGUCCACGCAAAAAAAAAAGAGAUCAGAAUCAUGGUUGUGCUGAUUCCAUAGGGGCCUCAUGAUGGUUUGUUUUCUUUUAUUCAAAUGAAAAAACCAAGAUUAUUAUUGUAACUGUUACAGUUGUACUAGCAGGAUUAUCCUAGAAGCUGUGCCAAUUUUUCAUCAAUUGAUAACACAGUAAGCAUGUUAAAGUCCAGCAAUUGACUUGGCUUAUUGUUUUGGAAAUCGCAACUGGUGCUUUCCUGCUUGUUUUUAUGAUCACUUGUGUUGUUACUGCCUCCAGAAGCUGCAAUCUAAAGCCUUCUAUAAGAAUAUCAUCACAGAGUAUAUCAAAAAGUUGGAGCGACGAGAUAACAGCACUGAUUGGCUGUUCAUGAGCACUGGACAACCAGCACAAGAGCAAGGCCUUCUUCAAGGCUGAUGUGUGCAUCUCCAAACGAAGAAGCAGAUAUCCACUAAGAAGAAACUCAUCCGAGUUCUCAACUUGAAAUCAAAUUGGCCAGCUACGUUUCAAAGUAUGAGAUGUGGUUGGGCAAUAAAUUGCAUCCCCUAUGCCAAGCCUACCGAGUUCACUAAAGCAACAAGCAGGGGAUCACCUUGAUGCAUAUCGCCAUCACAUUCAGACCCAAAGAUCUGGGAGCUGCAGUCUGGGCAUGAUUAACUGGGCAGUGCCAAAGUCAAGCUUCCGGAUGGUGGCGACAACAAUGGUGGCUGGAGGCGACGGGAUUAGCAGCGUGGCAAACAGUAGCGCGCAGCGUUUCACUGUAGGGCGUGUGGCCAGUGCUUGCGGCGGUUGUGGAUGAUGAAGUACUGGACCUGCGGUGGACGACCAUCCGCAAGAUCUACAUCAUCAUCUUUGGGUCAGUUUGCCAUGAAGGCCAUUCUGCGAACGAGGUUGUUCAUGUCCCUCCUCAUGUACAGUUGUACUUCUAUUCUAGGAUUUCAACUCUGCACUCCAUUCCGCGUCCUGAAUAUUCAGAGUCUCGAGUUUGCAUGAGUCUCGAUUUGAUUAAAUGAACAGGUCAGUAAGAUAGAUUUUUGGUCGAGGA